rnacentral:rRNA from 1 species
GAUGAACGCUGGCGGCGUGCCUAAUACAUGCAAGUCGAGCGAACAGAUGAGAAGCUUGCUUCUCUGAUGUUAGCGGCGGACGGGUGAGUAACACGUGGGUAACCUACCUAUAAGACUGGGAUAACUCCGGGAAACCGGGGCUAAUACCGGAUAAUAUUUUGAACCGCAUGGUUCAAUAGUGAAAGACGGUCUCGGCUGUCACUUAUAGAUGGACCCGCGCCGUAUUAGCUAGUUGGUAAGGUAACGGCUUACCAAGGCGACGAUACGUAGCCGACCUGAGAGGGUGAUCGGCCACACUGGAACUGGGACACGGUCCAGACUCCUACGGGAGUCAGCAGUAGGGAAUCUUCCGCAAUGGGCGAAAGCCUGACGGAGCAACGCCGCGUGAGUGAUGAAGGUCUUCGGAUCGUAAAACUCUGUUGUUAGGGAAGAACAAAUUUGUUAGUAACUGAACAAGUCUUGACGGUACCUAACCAGAAAGCCACGGCUAACUACGUGCCAGCAGCCGCGGUAA